UACGUAGGGUGCGAGCGUAAUCGGAAUUACUGGGCGUAAAGCGUGCGCAGGCGGUUUUGUAAGCCAGAUGUGAAAGCCCCGGGCUCAACCUGGGAAUGGCAUUUGGGACUGCAAGGCUGGAGUUUGGCAGAGGAGACUGGAAUUCCUGGUGUAGCAGUGAAAUGCGUAGAUAUCAGGAGGAAUACCGAUGCGAAGGCAGGUCUCUGGGCUAUAACUGACGCUCAUGCACGAAGCGUGGGGAGCAAACAGG
rnacentral:rRNA from 1 species